GGUUAAGUGACUAAGCGUACACGGUGGAUGCCUUGGCAGUCAGAGGCGAUGAAGGACGUAUUAACUUGCGAUAAGCCCAGAUUAGGUAGUAAAAACCAUUUGAGUCUGGGAUUUCCGAAUGGGGAAACCCACUUGCAUAAGCAAGUAUCCUGUUGUGAAUACAUAGCAACAGGAGGCGAACCGGGGGAACUGAAACAUCUAAGUACCCCGAGGAAAAGAAAUCAACCGAGAUUCCGAAAGUAGCGGCGAGCGAAAUUGGACUAGCCCUUAAGCUUUAUAUGCGUUAGACGAACGGUCUGGAAAGUCCGGCGAUACAGGGUGAUAGUCCCGUAGUUGACAACGCACAUUCAGUGAAAUCGAGUAGGGCGGGACACGUGAUAUCCUGUCUGAAUAUGGGGGGACCAUCCUCCAAGGCUAAAUACU
rnacentral:rRNA from 1 species